GCUUAGGAGCAUAUGAUGUCCCCUCACAGGUCGUGCAAUGCGUCAAGUGGUGGUGGGGGCCACAUGCUCCAAGUGCUCAUUUCUCAGGAGUUGAAGGUGAGGCUCGGAGUGUGUCCUCAGAUGUCCAGGCUACAGCAUGGUGACAUUUGGUGGUUUGGAGAGUCCACAGUUUGGGGUGAUAUACUUGCCGUCCUCAGGAUGGAAACUGUCCCGUGGCCAGGCUGUUGCUCAAUGUCUGAGUCCUUGGCUUUCUGUCCCCUCCAGGGUCUCACCUGGGGGUCGGACAGGUCUAAGCAGCCAAGGAUGGAGGUGUCUUCCUCAUUUUAGAACAUCUUUCUCAUAUUCCCUCAGUGAUCUGAAUGCCUACCAGGUUGUCACCAUUGAGGAACUGAGGGCAGAGAACGUCAUCCCCUGGCUGACACCAUGUGCAGCUCAUGGCAGGGUCUCAGUAUUUAAGGAGUCACGGUUCAUCAGCACAGGCCCCUCCUCUGGGUCUGGAAGACAAGUGGCAUUUUGAAGGGUCUUCAUGGUUAUGGGUGUCCAGCUCACAAGUGUCCUAAUGGCUCAGCCAUUAGGCCUAGAUGCCUCGGAAGCACUGUCUAGAGGGUCCUCGCUGUGCAGUGACCCAUGGGGUCGCAGGAGUCUGGCUGGCUCCCUAAAUGCUGUGCAGAUGGGAAGAGACUGCGUGUGUGCAAUAAGCUUAUAGGAGCUAUGACAGGCACUGGGGUCCAUGUCCCCAAGGAGGACAGUGAUCUCGGGGAUGAUGCCAGGAGUUACUACAUCAGGCUGACCUCGCGUGCUGAACUUCUUUUGGUUUGUCUCUUUAUCCAGUCGGUCCACUGGUGACAGACACCAAGUGAAUGGGUCAGGUGAUGUCCAUCCCUUCACAAAUGUGAUCCCAUUGCACUGGUGGCUCAGCUCUUCCUGUCCACUCUUUCACCUGAAGGCAGUCCAGAGUCACAUGGGAGAGCCUCUCGGCAGUCACGCUGGCUUCUGUAACACCCAGACCAUGGAUUUUCCUUUCCUAACCAAGGUCUUCUGUUUGACGUUAUCUCCUGCGUCCUCCGUUCAGACUUCACAGACCUUGUGACUAGGACAUUCAGAGUCCUAGUCAGCUUGAACAGCUGUCCCCUGCAGAGAUCCCAUCCCCCACUGCUUUCCUGGAUAGAAGGCUCCUGUCACCACCCUUCAGGGUCUGAUGUAGCCCAGAGCGGUCUUGAACUCACCAAGUAGCUGAGGAUGAACUUCUAAUCCUUCUGCCUCUGCUUCUGGGUAUAGAAACACUCACCUACUUCAGGAGUCCUUGGAGACUUUUGGGGCACUAUGUCUUCAACUCAAGUGGACAGGAUAAUCUGUCUAAGGAUAAGGAAUUUCUUCUUUGGAACAUGGGCUCUCACCCUCCACCGUGCAGGGCAGCAGCCCUUCUGUCUAGGCAGCUCCCACUGGGCUGUGUGCUGGUUUGAAUAAGAAGCCCCCAUAGGCUGAUGUAUUUGAAUGCUUAUAUAUCAGGGAGUAGCAUUACUUGAGAGGGAUUAGGGGAUGGAACCUUAUUGAAGGAAGUGUGUCACUGGAGGUGGGGAGGGGCUUUGAGGUGUCAAAGCCCAAACCAGGCCCAGUGUCACUCUUCCUGCUGCCUGUGGAUCCGGAUGCAGAACUCUUAGCUACUUCUCUACUACCAUGUCUGUUUGCAUGCCACUGUGCUCCCCAUAUGCUGAUAAUGGACUAAACCUCUGAAACUGUAAACUAACCCCAAUA